UAAAGGAGAUAGCGGUUUUAGCAAAAUACAACAUUUCAUAAGGAUAUAUUCAAAAACCCGUUGUAAAACAAUGUAUGCUUUGGCCAGGCACGUUCAUAAAUGUCACGGCCCGCCUUCGCAGGGCACGUGACUAUCGGGCCUACAUGAGGGGGAAACACGGGGCUCCCCUGCCAGAUGUUGGCCGGUUUCGGGGCUUCACGCAAGCGUCCUUCACCCCUCACCGAUUUUGCUUCUCCCCAAAACGCAUCUGCAGGAUUUGGAAACACCCGCCUCAUAUACCCAGGCUCUGAAAUGAGCCUCAUGAUCAUGCUUCAAAUAUCAUUUUCAUAAAGUAUGCAUAUGAAACUGUGCCCCCGGCAUGCCGUGGUCCAUUCUCUCGGAUGCUACUGCGAAGUCCAUUCGGCCACUGGCGGAGCCAGCUAGUCAUUCUCGGCCACUAGCAAGGCCAGCGAAGUUAUUCUCGGCCACUAGCAAGGCCAGCUCAGUAGCAUCUUUGAGCCCAUUAUAGUGCCUCUUGGCUAGCUAAGACUUUAUAAACUUACAUGCAUGAUUAAAAUAUCAGCAUCAUCAUGUUGCAUACAUAGCCAUAGCUUCUGAGAUCAUGCAAGUUACUUAUGCAUUGUAACAU
rnacentral:lncRNA from 1 species